GUGCCGUCCCGCCGGACUCUACAGGUGGUGGUGGUCCGCGAGCAGCCGCAGGUUACUAGUUUCACGGCUCCUCUCUCCUGUAGCUCUGCCUCAUUGGAGCUCAACGUCCUCAGGAGACUCGUGCAGGGCACCUGUCGGUGUGACAGCCUAGACCAGGUUUUCUUACUAUCUUUGUGAAGACUUGGGCUUGGACUUUGUAGCUGAGGUGCCUCCCUCCUUUCUGCCUAGUUUCAACUCCUGUGAAGAGUCUUAGAGGCUGAAGCUGAGCCUCUGACCAAAGGUGUCUGCUUUCCCAGAACAGCAGAGAAGGAUCAUGUCCCAGG